rnacentral:lncRNA from 1 species
UUUUUUUUUUUUUUUUUUUUAAUGAUAGUCACACAGAGAGAGUGAGAGGCAGAGACACAGGCAGAGGGAGAGGGAGAAGCAGGCUCCAUGCACCGGGAGCCCAACGUGGGAUUCGAUCCCAGGUCUCCAGGAUCGCGCCCCGGGCCAAAGGCAGGCGCCAAACCGCUGCGCCACCCAGGGAUCCCUGAAGUAGGGUCUUCAUAUGAAGUUUCAAGAUGCCUGAGCCCACCUCAGGGUACGGCUGUCUCGCUCUCCUGAGAUGAUAAGGGGCUUCCAGGCCACUAAAACCUCCUGUCAGGUUAGCACCUCCGAGCUGCCUGAACAUUUAUCAGGAGCUCACUCAUCAUCUAGCUCACCUUGUGAACAUUCCCCAAAGGCGAUAUCCAAUUGUCAUAGUGUCAUGGUGACUCCUUGGGGGUUCCCACUCCACAUGCACCUUCAGAGAUCUGAUUCCGAAAGAGCUCCUCGUUGGAGAACAUGAGCAUCAUGCUGGUUGUCAGCAAGUGGGCUUCUGAUGCUCAGGCCCAUGCAACCUCUCUCUCUUUUGUUUAACUGUGUGUGAAAUGUGGCCCACAGUGCUUCACAGGAGAUCACCCAUAAAACGGCACGUUAGCACUUUAGCGGAGAGAGAACCGAUACCUACCUGUCAAAGACUGGAAGGGAGGACAGUGGGAAGUGGGUCUGUGAGACAACAGUUAAGGCAGGAAAAAAGCAAUAGCAGGAACUGGGGAUCCAGUGUUGGCAGUCCUGAGGUAGAAGGGGGAAACGAAAAGGUGAAGAGACAGUGAGGUGAAUUGAGGGGGAGGGUCUCAUUGUGAUGUAUUUUGUGCACCAGGAUCUCUGAGGAUGCAGAAAUAAAGAAGUAGUCUGCUCUCAAGACCUGAUUGGCAAUGAAAAACAGUUCUCUGUCUGUCAUUCAAAUAGCAACAGUGGGUUGGAGUUGGGAGAAAGCUAUUGAUUAUCCUACUGCCAGAGAGCUCUUGCAUCAGCCCUGCCCUGCUUCAUAAGCAAACUGAGCAAGGAAGUAGGCUCUAAUAUUUGCGCAGGACCCGCCAUGUUUUUGGAGCCCCACUUCAAGGGGAUUUACACGCAUUACCUCAGUUUAGGCCUUUAUCCCUAUGUUAAAUGGGAAUCAAUGAAAGCAAGAAAGGUUAAGUGACUUGCACAAGGAUAUACGACUCAUAAUUUUCGGUCUGCAUCCAACUUCCAAAGCCUGUUCUCAUGCUCUUGAGGAGGUUUGGAUCCAGCUCCCCUAGUCCACUACUCUAGACCCACCUUCCACCAAGAAACGGUCACCUCCCAGGCAGAGGAGCUUGAAAUUUUUCAAUUAGAGAUCUAUUCCUUUUUCCAACACUUUAUUCUUUGGUAACUGAGCGGAACGAACCCUGAAAAAGGCUAUCCUUAAUAUAUGUCUCACUGAAAACAUAUUUAUGAGAACAUUUCAAACAAGGAAAUUUUGAUUGUGUGCAUGCGGAGUGGGGGGCAGUCAGAAAGGGGGCAAGGGGAGAGACUCAUACCAAAGAGGGAGGCAGAUGAUAGAAGACAUCCUUGCUCACUCCUCAGUGUCUGUGGGCACAGUGCUACCUGGGACCAGCCCUCCUUGCUUCUCCCUGUCCAGGGAACAGGAGGGGAACUGACUCCUUCUCCCCCACCCCCCAGAGAAUCAGCCAGUGGGAGGAGGCCAAGGCAGGAGAGGAGGCUGCUGUUAGCAGAGGUGGGGGGAGCUGCGGUGAGGUGGAGACAAAGGGGGAAGUAACUUUUUAAAUAAAAACUGAUAUGUGAUGAAUAGAAUGGCUAAUCCCGAGGAGCC